CUGCACACUUCCUGGAUGUCAUGGGCACUGGGCCAGGCAGCAUUCCAGGCCUGGGCACCUGACACCCUGCCCGGACACUCACAGGAGCGAGACCCUUGUGUUCACACAACCUCCUCUCUUGCAGCCUCCACCAAGGCCCCAUCGGUUUUCCCACUGAGCCCCAGCUGCGGGACCACAUCUGGCUCCACAGUGGCCGUGGGCUGCCUGGUGUCCAGCUACUUCCCUGAGCCGGUGACGGUGACCUGGAACUCCGGCGCCCUGACCAGCGGGGUGCACACCUUCCCAUCCGUCCUGCAGGCCUCCGGGCUCUACUCUCUCAGCAGCAUGGUGACAGUGCCCACCAGCGACUUCUACAGUGAAAGUAAGACCUUCACCUGCAAUGUGGCCCACCCGCCCAGCAACACCAAGGUGGACAAGACAGUGCCCAAAACAAAAACAGACCCCUGUGAAGGAUGUCCCAAGUGCCCAGCUCCUGAGAUACUGGGAGGCCCCUCUGUCUUCAUCUUCCCCCCAAAACCCAAGGACACCCUCUCAAUCUCCCGGACGCCCGAGGUCACGUGCUUGGUGGUGGACCUGAGCCAAGAAGACCCCGAGGUCCAGAUCACAUGGUUCAUGGAUAACGUCGAGAUGCACACGGCCAAGACAAAGCCACGUGAGGAGCAGUUCAACAGCACCUACCGGGUGGUCAGUGUCCUACCCAUCCUGCACCAGGACUGGCUCAAGGGGAAGGAGUUCAAGUGCAAGGUCAACAACAAAGCCCUCCCGUCCCCCAUCGAGAAGACUAUCUCCAAGGCCAAAGGGCAACCCCGCGAGCCCCAGGUGUACAUGAUGCCUCCACCCUCAGAGGAGCUCAGCAAGUCCGUAGUCAGCCUAACCUGCCUGGUCCAAGGCUUCUACCCAUCUGACAUUGCCGUCGAGUGGGAGGUCAACGGACAGCCAGAGCCAGAGAACAGCUACCGGACGACCCCACCCAUCCUGGACCGCGACGGCACCUACUUCCUGUACAGCAGGUUCCCAGUGGACAAGUCCCGCUGGCAGAAUGGAAACACCUUCUCGUGCUCGGUGUCACAUGAAGCCCUGCACAGCCACCACACACAGAAAUCCCUCUCCUACUCUCCGGGUAAAUGAGCAGCCCGCCCGGCCCCCCAGCAGGCCUCCUCGGGCUCUGGGCCCCCACCCCUGUGUACCUCCUUCCCGGGCAAGGCACCCCUGUGUGAAAUAAACCACCCAGCGCUGCCCUGGGACCCUGCGA